rnacentral:rRNA from 1 species
GUGAGGAAUAUUGCGCAAUGGAGGCAACUCUGACGCAGCCAUGCCGCGUGCAGGAAGAAGGCGCUACGCGUUGUAAACUGCUUUUAACCGGGAAGAAACCCCAGGACGUGUCCUGGGUUGACGGUACCGGAGGAAUAAGCACCGGCUAACUUCGUGCCAGCAGCCGCGGUAAUACGAAGGGUGCAAGCGUUAUCCGGAUUCAUUGGGUUUAAAGGGUGCGUAGGCGGAGCGUUAAGUCAGUGGUGAAAUCCUGCAGCUUAACUGUAGACUUGCCAUUGAUACUGGCGAUCUUGAGUGCGCUUGAAGUGGGCGGAAUGUGCCGUGUAGCGGUGAAAUGCUUAGAUAUGGCACAGAACACCAAUUGCGAAGGCAGCUCACUAAGGCGAUACUGACGCUGAGGCACGAAAGCGUGGGGAUCGAACAGGAUUAGAUACCCCUGUAGUCC